rnacentral:rRNA from 1 species
GAACGCUAGCGGCAGGCUUAACACAUGCAAGUCGAGGGGUAGAAGUUGCUUGCAACUUUGAGACCGGCGCACGGGUGCGUAACGCGUAUGCAAUCUACCUUAUACAGAGGGAUAGCCCAGAGAAAUUUGGAUUAAUACCUCAUAGUGUUAUUGAAUGGCAUCAUUUAUUAACUAAAGUUCCAACGGUAUAAGAUGAGCAUGCGUCCUAUUAGCUAGAUGGUAAGGUAACGGCUUACCAUGGCUACGAUAGGUAGGGGUCCUGAGAGGGAGAUCCCCCACACUGGUACUGAGACACGGACCAGACUCCUACGGGAGGCAGCAGUGAGGAAUAUUGGACAAUGGGCGCAAGCCUGAUCCAGCCAUGCCGCGUGCAGGAAGAAGCAUCUAUGGUGUGUAAACUGCUUUUGUACGGGAAGAAACACUCCUACGUGUAGGAGCUUGACGGUACCGUAAGAAUAAGGAUCGGCUAACUCCGUG